rnacentral:rRNA from 1 species
GACGAACGCUGGCGGCGUGCUUAACACAUGCAAGUCGAACGGAAAGGCCCUGCUUUUGUGGGGUGCUCGAGUGGCGAACGGGUGAGUAACACGUGAGUAACCUGCCCUUGACUUUGGGAUAACUUCAGGAAACUGGGGCUAAUACCGGAUAGGAGCUCCUGCUGCAUGGUGGGGGUUGGAAAGUUUCGGCGGUUGGGGAUGGACUCGCGGCUUAUCAGCUUGUUGGUGGGGUAGUGGCUUACCAAGGCUUUGACGGGUAGCCGGCCUGGGAGGGUGACCGGCCACAUUGGUCCUACGGUACGGCCCAGACUCCUACGGUAGGCAGCAGGCGGGAAUAUGGCACAAUGGGCGGACGCCUGAUGCAGCAGCGCCGCGUGCGGGAUGACGUCCUUCGGGUUGUAAACCGCUUUCGCCUGUGACGAAGCGUGAGUGACGGUAAUGGGUAAAGAAGCACCGGCUAACUACGUG